AAAUUGAAGAGUUUGAUCAUGGCUCAGAUUGAACGCUGGCGGCAGGCCUAACACAUGCAAGUCGAACGGUAACAGGAAACAGCUUGCUGUUUCGCUGACGAGUGGCGGACGGGUGAGUAAUGUCUGGGAAACUGCCUGAUGGAGGGGGAUAACUACUGGAAACGGUAGCUAAUACCGCAUAAUGUCGCAAGACCAAAGAGGGGGACCUUCGGGCCUCUUGCCAUCGGAUGUGCCCAGAUGGGAUUAGCUUGUUGGUGGGGUAACGGCUCACCAAGGCGACGAUCCCUAGCUGGUCUGAGAGGAUGACCAGCCACACUGGAACUGAGACACGGUCCAGACUCCUACGGGAGGCAGCAGUGGGGAAUAUUGCACAAUGGGCGCAAGCCUGAUGCAGCCAUGCCGCGUGUAUGAAGAAGGCCUUCGGGUUGUAAAGUACUUUCAGCGGGGAGGAAGGGAGUAAAGUUAAUACCUUUGCUCAUUGACGUUA
rnacentral:rRNA from 2 species